GUGGCCAACAUUAAUCAUAGCCACGCGCAAUGGGUUAACAAAGUUGAAAACUGGGAGGAUUGACAGAUUGAGAGCUCUUUCUUGAUUCGGUGGAUGGUGGUGCAUGGCCGUUCUUAGUUGGUGGAGCGAUUUGUCUGGUUAAUUCCGAUAACGAACGAGACUCUAGCCUUUCAAAUAGGUGUGUGGUUUCUGCACCUUGCACCAUUCGUAGAGGAACAAGCGGCUCCUAGCCGCACAAAAAAGAGCGAUAACAGGACUGUGAUGCCCUUAGAUGUCCGGGUCCGCAUGCGCGCUACACUGAAGGAAGCAGCGUGUUUUUAUCCCUGUCUGCAAAAACUGGCUAACCCGUGGAACCUCCUUCGUGAUUGGGACAGGGGCUUGCAAUUGUUCCCCUUGAAC
rnacentral:rRNA from 1 species